AUUUAACGCUGGGCGAAUGCUUUACACAUGCAAGUCGAACGGCAGCACGGAGAGCUUGCUCUCUGGUGGCGAGUGGCGAACGGGUGAGUAAUAUAUCGGAACGUAUCCAAUAAUGGGGGAUAACGAGUCGAAAGAUUCGCUAAUACCGCAUACGCCCUACGGGGGAAAGCAGGGGAUCGUAAGACCUUGCGUUAAUGGAGCGGCCGAUAUCUGAUUAGCUUGUUGGUGAGGUAAAGGCUCACCAAGGCGACGAUCAGUAGCUGGUUUGAGAGAACGACCAGCCACACUGGAACUGAGACACGGUCCAGACUCCUACGGGAGGCAGCAGUGGGGAAUUUUGGACAAUGGGGGCAACCCUGAUCCAGCCAUUCCGCGUGAGUGAAGAAGGCCUUCGGGUUGUAAAGCUCUUUCGCAAGGGAAGAAAACUUAUGAUCGAAUAAAUCAUGAGGUUGACGGUACCUUGAUAAGAAGCACCGGCUAACUACGUGCCAGCAGCCGCGGUAAUACGUAGGGUGCGAGCGUUAAUCGGAAUUACUGGGCGUAAAGCGUGCGCAGGCGGUUUUGUAAGUCGGAUGUGAAAUCCCCGGGCUCAACCUGGGAACUGCGUUCGAAACUGCAAGGCUAGAGUGUGUCAGAGGGGGGUAGAAUUCCACGUGUAGCAGUGAAAUGCGUAGAGAUGUGGAGGAAUACCAAUGGCGAAGGCAGCCCCCUGGGAUAACAC
rnacentral:rRNA from 1 species